GUUCACAAACCUGAAACGUGCUUUGACACAGUUUUUCCACCCACUCCACACAGUCGUCUUUGAGCGCAGCGAACACCAUCGUCCUGUCCUGAGUCUCCACGCAGAAAGCGGACAUGUUCUCCUGCAAACAUCACAGAGAGCAACUUUAAUAUAAACUCAGCGCUCACUGAUGAAUGUGAACAAAACAAGGAACCAGAGAGACCCACCGUGGGACAAGCCUCAGCGUUCGGGGGGAGUCUGAGGACGCUGAUCAGCUCGGACAGCCGGACCACCUUCAUCUUUCUGUCUUGAGGCUGGUGGUGUCUCCUGGCCCCAGGACUAUAGUCGGCUCCAGCAGCGCCACCUGGUGGACACACAGCGAAGACACAGAUGAAGGUUUGUUGUAUGAAGAUUAUCUGGAGCAAUCCAAAGAGGCAGAUUAUUCAUGUUAACAAAGUGGGAGAAAUGAACGUGUGAUUUCUGACGCUGUACAUUAACAGCUCUGUAGAUGCAGAUGUGACUGAGGAUGAAUCCUCUGUGUAUUUUCAUGACGUUAACCAAACCUCCCCUCAGCACCCUGACACACUGUGCACAGUGCAGAUUUGACUCUGCACAAACCCUCUCAUGUAGGAGACGCUGCAUGAGGCAACAUGUCCGCCCCGGGUGUUGGCAUGAAGCAGGAGGUGUGACAGGUAUUCUGAGUGGAGGAGAAAAGGAGCGAGCCAACUCUAAGGAAGAAAAGAGAAAUCAUUUACAACAACAACUCAGAGAGCUCUGAUCCACCGGAGCCAAACGACAUCUGAGUGUUGAAGUCUGCAGGGAUCACCUCUGAACAUGUCUGGAUAUAUUUUUAACACUUCACAUUAAAUAUGGGUUCACUUUGUGUGAACAAAUAAAGAUGUGAGAGGAAAAGGUUUCUGUACCUCCAAUAUCCUGGAUCUCCAGGCGACCCACUGCACUGCUGCUGUGAGGGAAGAGAGACAACCACACCGGCUUCCAUUUCUGAGAGGAGACACAGAGAGAGAUGGAACAAAAGACUCUUUAAAAGAGGAGGGUGAAACCAGCAGAUUUUAUACAUCUUUCAACAACCAGCAGGGGGCAUCUCCACUGAUUCAAGCCACAACCUAUCUUGCUGAUGUGCUGCAAUGGAAAAUAACAACAGCACUGGACGACACAUUUAACUUCAACAAACUCCCAGACGGCUCAGUUUACAGCUCAAAGUAAUCUACACUUUGUGUCAAACAGGACUCAAAUAUCAUGAAGUACUAUGAGCUAACAGCUACAAGCUAAGCUACAGGAGCAGCUAAUCAGACUGAUGUCAGAAUCAACACAGAGACUACAUCUCAGACGUUGAGAGUUGUGACAUAUCAUGUGCUUUACCAUCAGGAACAAUAGUUUCACUCAUAAAGGAUCCGUAUGAAACAGAGAAAACAACCAAAUUGGAACUCCUGAAAAGUGUGAAUGCUGUUGCAUUAACCUGGGAUCCGUGGACGCCAGUGAGUGAUCACAUUUAUCUCUGAGUAACUGCGCACUGAGUGGACAUUUUGUCCUGCAUAUUCCUUCA